CCUACGGGAGGCAGCAGUGGGGAAUAUUGGACAAUGGGGGCAACCCUGAUCCAGCCAUGCCGCGUGUGUGAAGAAGGCCCUCGGGUUGUAAAGCACUUUCAGUGAGGAAGAACGCCUGGUGGUUAAUACCCAUCAGGAAAGACAUCACUCACAGAAGAAGCACCGGCUAACUCCGUGCCAGCAGCCGCGGUAAUACGGAGGGUGCGAGCGUUAAUCGGAAUUACUGGGCGUAAAGCGCGCGUAGGUGGCUUGAUAAGCCGGUUGUGAAAGCCCCGGGCUCAACCUGGGAACGGCAUCCGGACCUGUCAAGCUAGAGUGCAGGAGAGGAAGGUAGAAUUCCCGGUGUAGCGGUGAAAUGCGUAGAGAUCGGGAGGAAUACCAGUGGCGAAGGCGGCCUUCUGGACUGACACUGACACUGAGGUGCGAAAGCGUGGGUAGCAAACAGGAUUAGAUACCCCAGUAGUC
rnacentral:rRNA from 1 species